GAUGAACGCUAGCUACAGGCUUAACACAUGCAAGUCGAGGGGCAGCAUGGUCUUAGCUUGCUAAGGCCGAUGGCGACCGGCGCACGGGUGAGUAACACGUAUCCAACCUGCCGUCUACUCUUGGACAGCCUUCUGAAAGGAAGAUUAAUACAAGAUGGCAUCAUGAGUCCGCAUGUUCACAUGAUUAAAGGUAUUCCGGUAGACGAUGGGGAUGCGUUCCAUUAGAUAGUAGGCGGGGUAACGGCCCACCUAGUCUUCGAUGGAUAGGGGUUCUGAGAGGAAGGUCCCCCACAUUGGAACUGGCACACGGUCCAAACUCCUACGGGAGGCAGCAGUGAGGAAUAUUGGUCAAUGGGCGCAUGCCUGAACCAGCCAAGUAGCGUGAAGGAUGACUGCCCUAUGGGUUGUAAACUUCUUUUAUAAAGGAAUAAAGUCGGGUAUGUAUACCCGUUUGCAUGUACUUUAUGAAUAAGGAUCGGCUAACUCCGUG
rnacentral:rRNA from 1 species